rnacentral:rRNA from 1 species
UUAAAUUGAAGAGUUUGAUCAUGGCUCAGAUUGAACGCUGGCGGCAGGCCUAACACAUGCAAGUCGAGCGGAAACGAGUUAUCUGAACCUUCGGGGAACGAUAGCGGCGUCGA